CUGGCACCUGUCCCCCGCACCCGAGGCGUCGGAGCGCAGAGCAGAAGCGCCUACUCAAGGCCUUGCGAAAUUGUCCGAGGUACCAGUCCCGGUGCGCUGAUGGAGGGAUCCGCUGGUCGGCUGCUGCGCGGCAGCGCGCUGGGCCGAGCCCGCUGCAUAUGGAGGUUACCAGGCUAGAGGUCGAAUCGGAGCUACAGCUGCUGGCCUGCACCACAAGCACAGUAAUGCUAGAUGCGAGCGGAGUCUGCGACCUAUAUAGUGCAGCUCACGGCAACGCUGGAUCCUUAACCCAAGUGAGCGAGGUCAGGGAUCGAAUCCCCGUCCUCGUAAAUACUAGUCGGGUUCGUUCCUGCUGAGCCACGUAGGAACUUUCGAGCUUCAAGGUAUUCUUUGCAGGGCCUUGAGUCCUAGGAGUCACCGAGUUUCGACUCUUUGGAGGCAUUUUGUGGAGAUGUCACCUCUCCAAUGCCACCUUUCCCCAAGAUUACAUUUCCUUGCUCACCCCCUCCCCGCCCAAAGAUUGUUGCAAUAUAAGCACAGUCCCAUUCCGCGCAGUGUUUGCCGCUUCUCUUUUCCGCGGCCCUGAUCCAAAGUUAGAGACGGACCUCGGGAGUGGGUCGGAUUUACCCGCCAAAAAGAGUUUACGCUGCUCCUUACCUCUGGCUGGGACAUGAGCAUAUUGCAUGGAUGGGCUCUUUACACAGGGGAAUCCGUUCCUCUCUCACUUCCUAGAGCUUGAACUGCUCACUGGACCUACACAAGCUGUUGAUUUUUGCACAGCUCUCUUGUCAGGUUUUCAUUACAGACCAUUCGGCCAAUCUUAAUCUUAUGGCAUGCUUUCCAGAACUCACACUUUUGAAUAUAUUCCCGUUUGUCCUUAUACUUCAGGGAACUUUCCCUCGGCUGCCUGUUUGCUUUUUUUAUUUAUUUGCAUUUUUCUUUAAUGAGUUAAAGGCUCUCUGCUGCUUCACUCUGAUGCCCAGAGGCAAAGCUCUUUUCAUUAAAGAUAAUUAAUGUUUGUUUUACAGGCUUGCGGUAUUAAGGAAAUUAGCCAUGUUAAUGUAUUGUGACAAAGAAAUACGGUUUUUUGGUUACCGUUUAAUACUGUUUUAUAAUUGUUGUUCUCACAACCAUCCUAAAAAGUAGGUUAAUCUUUCAGACGCAGGGGCUCAUGCUGAGAAAGAUGAAGUGACUUGCUCAGAGCACUCAGCUAGAAAGAGAUAGAGCUGGUGUUCUAACUCUGGUCUGUUUUUAAACUUCACCUUCAUACAUUACUACCUUCCCUUUCUCAAAGAUAAUCAGAAAGCUCUUUUGUUUGGAUUUGUUGGUUUUAUUGUGGCUUUCCCUCCGAAGUAGCUUUUAGAGCUCUUUUACGUAAUUUAACGAAUAUGAUUGAUUGAUGGGAUGUUACCUGUAGCAUAAUGGUUUUGGAUUUAGGUUCUGCAGACUAAUUGCUUGGGUUUGAACCCAGACUCUGUCACUUUCUAGUAGUAUAAUCUUGGGCUGGUUACUUAACCACUUUAGGUCUUAAGUUUCUUAAUCUGUAAAAUGGUGAGAAUAACAGUACCUCUGUCAUGGUGGUUGUGAAGAUUAAUUCAUAUAUACUUGCGAGGCACUUGAAAUAGUAGUGCCCAGCAUAGUCAGCUGUCAUUAAGUGUUAGCUUAUUGCCAUGCAUGAGGUAUUGCCAAUGCUAAAUAAAUAGUUUGGACAGGUGUGCUUGUAGGAAGGAGGUGGGGUUUGAACUGAGCAUCCAAAGAAGAGAUGUCUUAGGUUUAGGUGAAAGCAGCAGAAGGCUUGAGAUUCCAGAGUUGUGUAAGGUGUAGAAGUAGGAAUACACUCUUCUCGUUUAAGGAAUAGUUAUGCCAGGGUAGCCGAUGUGAUAAGUUUACAGAGGGAUGGAAUGAAUUCAGCUGGCAUGACCCUAUCAUGGGGAGUUUCUUUUGUGGCUCAGUGGAAACAAACCCGACUAGUAUCCAUGGCCUCUCUCAGUGGGUUAAGGAUCCAGCGUUGCAGUGACCUGUGGUGUAGGUGGCAAACGUGGUGGCCUGGUUGCUGUGGCUAUGGCCAGCAGCUGCAGCUCUGAUUCCAUCCCUAGCCUGGGAAUGUCAAUAUACUGCAGGUGAGGCCCUAAAAAAGCAAAAAAAAAAAAAGACCAUAUCAUGUUCUGGGGUUAGGUCUGUACUUAUUCCUGUAGCAGUGUGGCACAAACAGGAUCUACAGUCACAGAUACAUUCCUUUUGUUUUCACUAAAGUACAGGUAUUUGUACAGUUACUACUCAUCAGUACAGAAAUGACAGUGUUCCCUUAUCAAUAUUCGUUUGCCAUCCUUCUUUCUCUCUGGUGCCAGGAAGACUAAGCAUAAAGAUCUUCUCCGGCAGCCAUAAGAUUCUUUCUCCUUUCUCUCGGGAUCCUGGACUCCUAGCCCUGUUUGGGGCUCCCAUUGCCUUUAUUCCUUCUUUCCUAAGUGCUAGACCAGGGUUGCUCAGUAUUGGCAUUUUCAACCUUUGAAGCCAAAUAUUUCUCAAUUGGGGGAGGUUGGCCUGUCUCCUUGAGUUGUGACAACCAGAAAUCUCUCUAGAGAAUGUCCAGUGUUCCCUUGGGGCAAAAUUGCCCCUGAUUAAGCACCGCUGGUGUAAUCCAAUACUAAUCUGUGCUCCAGGAGAGUGGGGAACAACCCGGUAAACUCUCCUGACCUGCUCUGUGCCACAUCUGGUUUGUGGACCACAGAAGUUGAUCUUCAAGAUUCCAGCAGGAGCUGAUGAAAUUCUGAGGUUUGCCAAAGGGUUUUAUAAAAUAAAUAAAUGGUCAGGAGCUUGCAGAAGGAACUUGAAAGAGCCCAGAUGCCACUUAAACCAUUUCAAUAUAAGCCAAUUUGGCACACUGAUCAUCUUGAACAAAAGCUACAUAAGAAAGAGCAGUGCAUGGAGUUCCCGUUGUGGCACAGUGGUUAAUGAAUCUGACUAGGAACCAUGAGGUUGCAGGUUUGACCCCUGGCCUUGCUCAGCGGCAUUGCCGUGAGCUGUGGUGUAGGUCAAAGACGCAACUCGGAUCCUGUGUUGCUGUGGUUCUUAGCGUAAGCCGGUGGCUACAGCUCCGAAUUGACCCCUAGCCUGGGAACUUCCAUAUGCCAUGGGAGCAGCCCUAGAAAAGGCAAAAAGACAAAAGAAAAAAAAAGAAAAA
ensembl:lncRNA